ensembl:lncRNA
GGUAGCCUGGUGGUUAGAGCGUUGGGGCGGCAGGGUAGCCUGGUGGUUAGAGCGUUGGGGCGGCAGGGUAGCCUGGUGGCUAGAGCGUUGGGGCGGCAGGGUAGCCUGGUGGUUAGAGCGUUGGGGUGGCAGGGUAGCCUAGUGGUUAGAGCGUUGGGGUGGCAGGGUAGCCUAGUGGUUAGAGCGUUGGGGUGGCAGGGUAGCCUAGUGGUUAGAGCGUUGGGGUGGCAGGGUAGCCUAGUGGUUAGAGCGUUGGGGUGGCAGGGUAGCCUAGUGGUUAGAGCAUUGGGGCGGCAGGUAGCCUGGUGGUUAGAGCGUUGGGGUGGCAGGGGUAGCCUAGUGGUUAGAGCAUUGGGGCGGCAGGUAGCCUGGUGGUUAGAGCGUUGGGGUGGCAGGGUAGCCUAGUGGUUAGAGCGUUGGGGCGGCAGGUAGCCUAGUGGUUAGAGCGUUGGGGUGGCAGGGUAGCCUAGUGGUUAGAGCGUUGGGGUGGCAGGGUAGCCUAGUGGUUAGAGCGUUGGGGCGGCAGGUAGCCUGGUGGUUAGAGCGUUGGGGUGGCAGGGUAGCCUAGUGGUUAGAGCGUUGGGGUGGCAGGGUAACCUAGUGGUUAGAGCGUUGGGGCGGCAGGUAGCCUGGUGGUUAGAGCGUUGGGGUGGCAGGGUAGCCUGGUGGUUAGAGCGUUGGGGUGGCAGGGUAGCCUAGUGGUUAGAGCGUUGGGGCGGCAGGUAGCCUAGUGGUUAGAGCGUUGGGGCGGCAGGUAGCCUAGUGGUUAGAGCGUUGGGGCGGCAGGUAGCCUAGUGGUUAGAGCGUUGGGGUGGCAGGGUAGCCUGGUGGUUAGAGCUUUGGGGUGGCAGGGUAGCCUAGUGGUUAGAGCGUUGGAUUAGUAACCGAAAGUUUGCAAGAUCGAAUCCCCGAGCUGACAACGUAAACAUCUGUCGUUCUGCCCCUGAACAAGGUAACCCACUGUUCCAAGGCCGUCAUUGUAAAUAAGAAUUAGUUCUUAACUGACUUGCCCGGAAAAAUAGAAAAAAAAGAGUGAGAAAAACCACAGAGCUGAUUACAUGAUUGCAGUUGUUAUGCGGAUAGACGUCGGCUUCAAUAACCUGAUGGCAUAUCUAGAACCAGACUACAAGACUGUGAUGGCCCAGAUGGAGAAAUUGUACAAUGAUUGCUCUGCAAGUACAAAGCGCGUUAACAACAGAUUGUUAUGAACACGCUGUCAUACAUCACUGCAACGACCUUGAUACCUUGAUGAGAAGUACUGACCACUGAGAACAUGGAGGAAAGGAACACAACAGAGAACCUAAAUCGGCAUUAAUACCAUUGUUGCUGAGUGGGUCGGGGACAGCAGUAAGGUGAGCGCCAUCUAGCUGGUAGGUGGUCGAGACAACGGUACAUUGAAAUGAAUUGCCCCCUAGUGGUCAUAGGCGAUCGUAUCUGAAUUUUGAAUUCACGUUAUCCUAUGAUUUUAUUACAAAUGAUUAAAUGAGAGAGAAAAAAGUCUGGUUAAACCUUAAGGACAUUUUUACA